AAAAAAAGCCUGAAGAGGGGAAGGAGUGACCUCCAACACUGGCUGAACUGGAGUGUCUCUGGGGGGGGUGUGUGUGUGUGGGAGGGCUGUGCUCUCCCAGCACUGAGGUGUGCGUGGGGCCGUGCCCAGCUCUGCUCCCUGGGCCCGUGCACUGCUCCCCUGUAAUAUUCCUGUCCGUCCGUCUGUCUGUCUGUCCCGGUUUCGUUGUCUCAAAGGGAAGCAUCAGCGUGAGUGCCCCCCCUGCCCGUCCCCGUCCCCUCGCUGCGCAUGCAGGUCCCUGGCUCGCUCUGUUUAUCUCUCCAGGGGGACACUGUCACCUCCCUCACCUUGCUGGCUUCAGGGCACCGAGGUUUUGGCAACCCCUUGCAGAACUGCUUUGGAGAGGAGCGGGAGCUGCUGUGGCUCUGUGCAGGGCGGAUCCCACUGGCAGGCCCCUUCUGGGAGCAGAGAUUCGCUGCCAGGGCCGGGCAGGGUCAGAGAGCAAAGCACAGAGCGUGGCCGAGCCGCCAUCCCUUCCUCCAACGCCCAUCUGCUGCCUGGAUGCUGCAGUGGGAGCCAGGGGAGUGUCUGCCUCCAAGGUCUGCAUCGGUGCUGGAACCGCCGCGGUGGGAGCGCCCAAAUUGAAACAGAAAACCGGAAUUGGGAUGGGUUUGCAACCGCUCCCGCUACCCAGCCUCAGCAAAUCUCUCCCCUGUUCGUUCACCUGGCCCUUGUCGUGUAAAAUCCGUGGGAAAAGCAGCAGCUUCCUUUCCUUGCCUGGGAUAAAUUGACAUAGUUGUAUCUAUGCUGCAACAGCCAUCACUGUGGAUGUCUGUGUGUGACUGCAUCUGUAGAGCAACAAGGCUUCCAAAAAUCCAGGAGAGGUCAGGAGGGGUGGCAGGGACCGAGGGAGGGAAGGCAAAAGGGCCCAUCGGAGGGUGGCAGGGCAGGGCUGGGUGUGAGGCGCCGCAGGGGUGUCCCCAUCAGCUGGGCAGCGCAGCCCUGGGGGUCAGCCAGGAGGCAGAGCUGCACCAAAAGAAAGCCAGUGUGCGUUUCCAGUUGUUCUGGGGGAUAGUUCCAGACUCCAUUAGCAGCCAGAUGAGGAAGAGAGGCAGCUUGGCUGUGCUGUGCGAUGCACAAACUCCACGGGGACUGCUGGGGAUGCAGGCUGCUUCUUGAAGCGUUUAAUAAAUGCUUUGGCCUCUUCCCCAGCCAGGUAGAUGAGGAGAAUGUGAGUCCCACUUUGUCCAACGCUGGGAUUUUUCCACCUUCUGACUGGUGGCGGGGAGGCAGCUGCACGUUCCAGUUUGGAAAUGGUGCAGUUGCGGCUCCCCCAUUGCCUCCAGGAUCAGUAACUGGUCUCACGCAGAAUAUCCCCAGUGCAGUCUGAGGAAAACCCUCUCAAGCUCCCACUUCCCAGCUAGGGAAAGGCAAUGGAUGCAGGAACGAGCUGCUGAUUUCUCCUGAGCUGCCUGCAACCCCCCUGCCCCACACAAGACUCACAUGUGCAGGAGCAAGGAUGAGGCCAGGCUGUCAAAAGGACAUUCCAGACUGUGAAAGCAAAGCCCAGCUGGGGAAAACCGGAGAGUGCUGCGUAUUUAUGACUAUUUAUUUAAUUUAAUGCUGCUGACUACUGUACUGCUCCCUGACUUUUUUCCCAGGGAGGCUGCUGAAACGGCUGCUGUACCGUGAAAUUGAGGUGCUAGGGCCUGGGAAGGGCUUUCUGUGGCUCCUUUUCCCCCCUGUGACUUGCCAGACUGUCCCAGAGUCCCCCUUUCCCCUCUCAGCCACCCCCACAAUUGCUAAGCACACAAAAUUCCCCCGCUGCUGGAAUUUCCCUCUGCUAGAAUUUAAUUUCGAGCACCAAGCAGGAUGGCACAGAGGAAGCCUUGGGCUUCACCCUGCCCGUGGCAGGAAAGAGAAAAAGCACACUGGGAAAGAGGAGCCUGGAGAAAUCAGGGAGGCUCACGGAUAAACGCUCACCAAUAUCACGUUCUCUCUGUUAGGGAGGCUGGGAGCCCUUUUCCUCCUCCUGAAUCCGUUCUCCUGUGCACAUUUCCAGCUGCAGGGAUGUUCCCUCAGGCUGACGGAACUGCACGAGCUCUGUUAAAUCAGGGCCAGGCAGCUGUCGCAAUCUCAACACUAAUAUUUGUCCCACCUGCAGAUUAGAGUGGGUUUUUUACCCUUUGACACCUGUCCUGACACUCAGCAGUGUGAAAUCCUUCAGUAAGAGCACAAGGGCACCAAGCACAACCUGGUGCUGCAGUGUCCUGCACACGGAGGGAGGUUUCUCUUGAAAGCCUUAAGGUUUUGGGGUUUUUCCACUUAUUUCUUUUUCCCACCUGGCAGCUAGCCUGGCUUGGAGUUGAAUGGGAUUCACGAUCUUUUUUUUUUCUUUUUUUUUUUUUUUAAAUCUUAGUCUUUUCACAGUAGAAAUAAAAAGGGGAAAAGCAAGGUCUUAAGGCACUAAUGGCGAGGGUUUGGACAAAACCUUGGAGUGUUUUCACUUCCUCUGGAGAGCUGGGAUGGGAAUCAGCUGCCCCUGGCCAGUCCCAUCUGACAGGUUAAUUCCUCCUGGAGCCAAAGAUGAUUUUGGAUUACGUUUCCUGGAGGGAUCAGUAACAGUUUCUAGGAGUGAGAGGUCUGAAUAAUGUCACAGAGGGUGGUGCUUCCCUCAGCACUCACAGCCAGGCCUGCCUUCCACCAUCAGCCUUUUGCUUCUCCCCUUGCUCACCUGUGCCAGAAAUCCCCCUGGAUUCUCUCCAGGGCAGGUGCAUUUCCCCUCCCAGUCUGACCCUUCCACCUGCACCUCUGGGAUUUCAUUUGCAGGAUCUGAACAACCACAAAACCGGGGAAUUUUUUGUCGUCGUUGUUUUUUAAAGGCUUUUCUCCAGCCAAGCAUGCGGAGGCAAUGCCAACAGCUUGUAGCCUAAAUCCUGCCGAGGAGGAUGCUCCCUGUUGGGAGGAGGGAGAAGGGGGAGCAGGAGGCUCUGAUCCACCAGUUUGUGACAUCCUCACUGAUCUUACCUUGGCACAGCCUCUGAUAAAUACACACAGAGCUUAUCUUACACAGUCCUGGCAGCUGGGUGAGUGGGUUUGAGUCCUGGGUAACUGCCAGGCAUGCCCAGGGUGGGUACCAGAGGCUUCUACAGCAGCAGCUGCCUGUGAAGUCUCAGAAGGACCAAAAACCAGGAUAUUCCUGGUGAGCUGCCCAAGGUGAGGGCACUGCACAUUCCAGGUAGUAAAUUUGGGGAAAUAAAAGAUAGGAAGGUGCUUGCAGUGAAGGAGUUAGCUGUGGGUUAGCAGGAUGAUGAGCUUUGGGGGUGCUCUGCACUGCGGGCACUCUUCAUUCAGAAAAUUCUGCUGUUAACUCGUAUUAACCAAUACUAACUUCUGCCUAAACCCUCCUGGCUCCCUCAAAUCCUUUGGGAGAGGAGAAGAAAGGCACAUGGCUUUGCUGUCCCCUGUUCUGCUGUGACACAGGGGCUGCAUUUACACCUCUGGCUGCUGUCCCUGCCUGCUGGGUGACACCCGACCCUACCUGCCUGCUGCUGAUCCUAAAAACAGAAACCUCAGGGACAGGAAAUGUCUUUAGUCUAACACUGGAUUGGAAGAGGAAAGGUCUCAAAGCUCAAGGCUUUGCUAGAUUUGGAGCCCUGGAGGCACAAAAGUGCCUCUGAAAUGACAGGAUGUGUUUUUAACAUACCUGAAGUAGCAGGGAGAUCCCCUCUAGGGAUGCCAGUCCUGGAAUGCUAAUCCCUGUCCUUGUCAGACAGUUUCAGCAGCUCACCUGGGUGUAGAUAAGGACAGACUUUUCAGCCUCCUUGGCUCCUCAGCACUGUCCUGGUGGCCACAUAGGAGCUUUCUCUUACCUUUGUGCAAGAAGGUAGAAAUUUCUUUUCCAGAGAGUGGCUGGAGGCACCUCUGGUCUGGGAACUUGAGAGCUUUUGGAUUCGCUCUGGUGCGCUGCAGCAGCUGCUCUCCCCAGGAGCACGGAAACAAACUCCUGAUUUACAGCUGGAACUGUCAGGUUCUACGUUACACAGAAAAUGAGUCUUAAAAUUGCUGUUUAAAGCAACAGUGCCUGGCUCAGGGGAGGCAGCUCCGUCCUGUCUGCCCAGGCAGCUGCUGCCACCCCCAGCUCCGGGCAGAUCCGUGCUUCCUGCGCUGCCUGCUCAGCUCCAAGGGGCUCUCCCGUGGGAUCUGUGCCAGGCUGCCACCGACACGGCCCCUGGCACAGCCACCUGGGCUCUGGCUUCGUCUCUUCAGCCUCAGCACCACUUCAGAUACCCGGCAGGGGCUUGCUUAAAACCCAGCUCAGAGCAGAGACUCUGGAGGCAAAGCUCCCGAGGGAAGCUGCUCACAGGACACCUGUGGCAGUGUGGUUCCUGUGCUGAUUUCCCAGCCUGUUUCCCCCCCGACCCGCUCUGAUCUCUGUGCUUUGCGGUCUCUCCAGCACGAGUCUCGCUGUGCCAUAAAACCGCUCUUUCCCCAGAUGUGCACGCUGGCCAAAUCAUCUCGUGUCCUGGGCGACUGCUGAUCGAGGCCAUUCCCUGAUCUAGGCAGGCAGCAUGGACUUCUUCUAGCAUGGAUCCGUGGCAUGCCGUGCCCUCCUCCUCUCCCACGCGUUUCGCAGUGCUUGCUGUGGCUUUUCCCUGUCCCCUCCCACCUCUGCUGCUGGACAAUCAUUACCUGUGUCAUAGAUGGUCUGACCUGGUGCUGUCCCUGCCUGCCUUCCCCUCCUGCGGUCUGUGUGCUCUUCAAGUGAAUGUGGUUUAUUUUAUUUUAUUUUUUAUUUUAUUUUAUUUUUCAGUAGGGAAAAGGACUUCCUUCUGCGGAAGGAAUUAUAUUUGCACAUGGCUCGGGGAGGUUCCUCCUCCGGCCGUUUCUGUUACCUCACUCAUUUAGGCCAAUUCCAUUGCUAACGUUCAAGGCCACCUUCCCUGUCCCAAACCCCGAGAGUAGAUAGGGAAUAAACCCCAGCAGGGAAUAAACCCCAGUAAGGAGCAAACCCCGACGUGCAGCUCAGGCUCUGGAGCGGCGUGGAAUCAGGAUUUGGGAGAGCAGCUGUCACAGCUCCAUCCAGCAGGGAGGUGGAGCCUGGGCCGUGCACGUCAUCCCCAUCUCCACCUUCCCACCUCCCGGGAAAUGGCCCUUGGAGGGCAGGGAUGGAAUCACCCACCCGGCUCUGGGCUGGAUGUGGAGGGAGGGAAGAGCAGCAGGGCGGUGGCAGCCUCACAGCCUCCCACGGGCGGCCUGGCAUGGCCGUGGCACCUCUGGGACAUCACCAUUCCAGUGGGAUUUCAUCUCCCACCACGUGCUCCAGGGCUGGAGAAAGCUGCUAAGACCCUGGGGCGUGUUCUCCUCGCCUGGAUCCCGCAAUUCCUGUGCGCAGCCGAUGGCGAACGAGGAUCUGCUCUCCUCAGCACGGCACAGGAGCGGGUCCUACAACCACCACUGGCACGUGCUUCCCGCCUGGAAUCCCUCCAGAGCCCGGGAAACAGGGGACUGAUGGCUGAGGUGACUCUGGGGUGGGUGGGGGAAGGAUUGUGGGUUUGUUUUAGGAGUUGUCCCGACUGUCAGAAACUUUGCGCUGUGCGCAAAAGAACCACAAAGAGAAAAAAAACAAAAACAAAAAACCCAACCCGCGGUUAAAAAUCGAUACUGGAACGUGCUGGAAUGUAGGAAUUGUACAGGCUCUGCAGCCAAACUCCGUGUAAGUAGUUAGUACCAUGGAAGUACGGUAUCAAUUAAAAAAUCUAUCCAACAA